UCGUGGAGCGAUUUGUCUGGUUUAUUCCGAUAACGAGCGAGACUCUAGCCUACUAACUAGUCCGCACCUUCGCCUGCUGGGUGCACACACACGGACUUCUUAGAGGGAUUUUCGGCGUUUCAGCCGCACGAAACUGAGCAAUAACA
rnacentral:rRNA from 1 species